rnacentral:lncRNA from 1 species
AUUAGUUGACGAUGUGUAGGUUUGAAUUGGGUUGUUUUUCUUUUCAAGCUUAAUGCUCUGAGAUCCAUUAAUUUAUGGCCCAAUUUGAGGGACUAAGCUGACCUUCAUGUUUAUUCUAAUGGGAUGAAACUGGUUUGGGAUCAUCAUGGCAUUUAAGAAUCUGGUUGUUCAAGCUUGAAUUUAUUCUUUGUUAGUAUACUACGUAGUAAAUUAUAAGUGAUUUUAUGUUUUGGUUAUUCAUCUUAAAAUUUUAUUAUUUUAGUUUAUAAUGUUAUUACCAUUUGAUAUUUUGAUCAUUUUUCUGUUAAAUUAUUAAUGAAAUGUUGACAUG